UUAAUUUUUAUUUAUUAAUUUUUUAUAUUGUUUAAUUUUAUUUAAUAAAAAUAAUUUUUUUAUUUUUUGUUAUAGUAUUUUUUAAAGAAAAAAUAAUUUUAAUAAUAGUUUAUUAGUAUUGUAAAAGAAAAUUGAAAUAAUUUGAAAAAUUUUUAUUUUAAAAGAAAAUUUAAUUUAUUGUACCUUGUGUAUCAGGGUUUAUUAAUUAAUUAAUUAUUAUAUUAAUUUUUCUCGAAUUUUAAAGAUUUAAUUAUAUAUAAAAGUUAAUGUAGCAUAAUUAUUUUAAAUAUAUAAUUAGAAAUGAAAUGUUAAUCGUUUUAAAAUAUAUCUAGUUUUUUAAGAAAUAAAUUUAAUUUAGAUUUAUAAAUUAAAAAUUUUAUUUUUUUUUAAUUUUUUUAUUUUAUAAAAUUAAUAUUUUAAGGGAUUAGCUUUAAAAUAAAGUUUUAAAUUUAAAAUAAAAUAUUUAAAUAAAUGUAAGCUUAAAAAUAGUUAUCAUUAAUAAAUUUGUUAUAAUUUAUUUUAAAUUUUUUAUUAUUUAUUGUUAAAUUAAAUUAUUUAUUAAAAUAUAAAUUUUAAUUAUAUAAAUUUAUUAAUUAUGAUAAAAUUAGUAUACAGAAUUUAUUUAAGUUAUUUUAAUUGAAAGGUUUAAAUAAGGAAUUCGGCAAAUUAUAAUAUAUUCACCUGUUUAUCAAAAACAUGUCUUUUUGAGUUUAAUUUAAAGUCUAACCUGCCCACUGAUAGUAUUAAAGGGCCGCAGUAUUUUGACUGUGCGAAGGUAGCAUAAUCAAUAGUCUUUUAAUUGGAGGCUUGUAUGAAUGGUUGAAUGAGAUAUAUACUGUCUUUUUUAAAUUUUUAUAGAAUUUUAUUUUUUAAUUAAAAAGUUAAAAUGUAGUUAAAGGACGAGAAGACCCUAUAGAUCUUUAUUUUUUUUAAUUAUAAAUUAAAAAGAAUAAUUAAAUUUAUAAUUUAAUAAAAAAUUUUGCUGGGGUGGUAUUAAAAUUUAAAUAACUUUUAUAAUUUAUUUACAUUAAUAUAUGAAUAAUUGAUCCAGUUUUAUUGAUUAAAAAAUUAAGUUACCUUAGGGAUAACAGCGUAAUUUUUUUUUAGAGUUCAUAUCGACAAAAAAGAUUGCGACCUCGAUGUUGGAUUAAGAGUUAUUUUUAGGUGUAGAAGUUUAAAGUUUAGGUCUGUUCGACCUUUGAAUUCUUACAUGAUCUGAGUUCAAACCGGCGUGAGCCAGGUUGGUUUCUAUCCUUAAUAAAAUUAUUAUAUUAUAGUACGAAAGGACCUAGUAUAAAAAAUAUAGAUUUUAAAGUUAUGAAUAAUAUUAAUAUUUAAUAA
rnacentral:rRNA from 1 species